rnacentral:snoRNA from 1 species
UAGAUUUUUAUAUAAGACACAAUGGCUGACUUUGGUUAUAUCUUUUAUCAAUACACCUGCACGUUAGUCUUAGGUUCUGAUAGAAAUGACAUGCAAUUAAGCUGUCACUCUUGACUAUCAGGACGCAACUGGCGUGGACACU